rnacentral:lncRNA from 1 species
GAAUGGGGAUUGCCCAGGAGAACCUCCGGCAGCACAUCCUACAACAGGUGCUCCAGCUGAAGGUGCGAGAAGAAGUCAGAAACCUACAGUUACUCACACAAGCCUCAACCGAGGGUUCUCCAUAGACAUGGUUAGCCUUCCAAGCUGCUGUCCUGCCAGUCGAUAUGAACAUGGCCUGUUCCUCACAGAAAGACGAACUCUUGAUGCUGCCAGAAGAUAUCCUUGGAGCAUUGACAGAUUAACUGGAUUAACUGGAAAAAAAAAAAAAUUCGGUCAAGAUCAUGGGCUUUGGAAAGUCUUAGUUUGCUAUGGAUUUUUAAAUGAGGUGCAUAAUAUACAGUGCCAACUUGUUCCAAGUGGUCAUUGGCAGACCAUUAGCUGGAAAAUAGCUUCCAGUUUUCAUCACUGUGCAUAACUCAAGCUCCCUCGGGGAGCUGUCUGUGCCCUUCACUAGAAGUCCUGUUUUAGCAUGGCAACUACUGGAUUAUUUUAUUAUGUGUGCAGAUGGCAUGAUGUGUUAGAAAAAAAAAAUUACAGCAGUUCUGCAGUCUCAGUGGAAGUGUUCACAAUAUUAGGCCCUGGUAGAGCCAUUCCUCAUGAUACUGGAUUCUGGGAAGCCCCAAUGCUAUGACUGGUCCUGGGGACACAGAAUUGGGCCUGAGGAAUUCAAAUGAACUACUGCCAGGUGCUGAGACAUUGUAGCUGGGAAUGAACUGGUUUAGCUUGGAGUGCUCUGAGAACUACUGGUAACACCCUUAGAAAAUUGGACAUGCUUUACGGGGCAGAUGUUCAUGAUAUGAUGAUGGUAGUUCAUCCUUACUUUGGCAUUUGCAAAAUAUGUUCUGAACAUGAGUAGAGUUUUAUAGCUUUUUUCGAGUCACAAAUGUGCUGGACAAUGAUUAAAAGAUGAUGGCUGAAGAUGGAGAUGGGAGAAGGCAAAGAUGGAAACAAUGAAAGAGCCCCAUUGACGAUGGUGUCUCUAAAAAUGCCUUAAUUCCUGGCACAUACCACAUAUUUGCAUGUGAGCUACUACUGUUUUCCAAACUGUCAACCUCGGUUUGAAAUCAUUUGGGGGCAUAGUUUUGGAAACGUGGUGGCCUAUAAUCUGAGCAGUUACAAGCUAAACCAGCAAAAUAGAGAAAUGAUUUCCUUCACAGCCUUGGGAUUCUUUGUUAUGCAUUGAUCCACAGUUACCCAUGGUUACUUCCUGCUGUGCUGUACCUUCUUCCCAAGAUAUAUGUAGGACGUUUUACCUCCUAGAAGUGCAGAGAUGGCUGUGGUGAGUUUUGUUUAAUGGGAAGCAGGAGACAGGAAGGUAGGGGAUAAAUAUUUUGACGACUAAGGGCUGUAAACUGUGGAUGCUGAACUUUUCCUUAAACCCAGGCUGCACCUUUUAUUUAAAGGCUGCCCCCCCCACACACACACACACAUGCUUGUUCAGGAAAGGCACUCUUGGGAGUGAGCCAAAAUGAAUAAUUAUCAGACUCUUGAGGGGUACCCAGGGGAUAAAUUGUUCCAGCUCCAGAGCUGAAUUUAAAUAUGCAAAGCAUCAGUGGUCCUGCCUCAGUAAAAAGCAAAUCCCUUCAGUAGAUUAAGCCUACCUAGGGGGGCAAGAGACCCUAUCAGCUUUCUUGUGGGCGUGGCUCAUCUUCAAGUCUCUGCGCAGCCUCUGUGAGGUGUGUAACCGCCCCGUGGACUUCUACCUCCAGAAUACAGGGAAAUAACCCCGGGUUCCCUCCGGAGUCCCUUCUCAGUUGCUCGGACAGUGGCUAAUAGUCCUUAGAUCUGAGGGACUCCUUCCUGGUUUUUAACCUUCAAGGGGAAAAGGGACAUCAACCUUACGUGAGAAUAUAAUGGAAGCAUUAAAACUUCUAAUGGGCGUACCCCCUUGUUCCUUGCAAAUGUUUUCUUUGUCUGCAAAUGUCACAUAAUCGAUUUUGGCGCGGAACAAUGGAAGUCUCACAAAGGAAAAGUUUUCAAGACCCCCUUAGCACUUUCAUUUUGCCAAAACCUCCUUUUUCAGUGCUUCAGCGGCUUCAUUCUUUGUACUGUUUUCCUCUCCAUUCAAGUAAUUUUGUUACUUGACAACUAGACUUAAAGCUGCCAUGGUCUCUUUUUUAAAAGUCUAAUCUUUGAAAAUGACAUCAAUUCCUUUAUGCCUUAAAGGCAGUUUUAUUCACCUCUUCCACAACCCUCUCCACUUCACUUUCUUGCUUUGUUUUGUGAGGUGUGGUUUUUUUUUCCUCUUAAUCUCUUUCUUUUCAUAAUAUAGUUCCUUGGGCAGAUUUCAAGUAUUCCGCAAAGAACCCAAACAGAAAAAUAUAGUCGUCCCCUUUCUUACCAGUUCUGACUAAUAAGUCCUUGUUGAGCUUGAUCUGGGUGAAAGCUUGGUGCCCAGACCACACUGGGCAGGAAUUCUCAUCGUCUGGAGAGUGGCCGGUCACUGCAGUAAUCAAAACAAGACCCGCGACUCACGAGGAAGGACAGACGGCCUGGGAGAUGCAGCUGCUUGGGCACAGCUGGGGACUGUGUUUCAAAGACUAGCGGGUCCUGUCCCUUUGUCUCUUUAGAUGUGCAUCUAAUCCUGUAGCCAGAGAACUGUCUUAAGAAUUCUGCUUUAUCAAUGUGAGUGAUCCCUGGCUCCGCUGCACAGCUUCAAGGUCAGAGAGGGCUGCAUUUCCAUUACUUUGCUCUGGUGACUUCUGCCUCUAGUAAAGAGGCAAGAAGGCUUCAUUUUUUAAAAAUGUUUUUAAAUAAAUUUUAUGGGGGUCUCAUUGACUUAACAAAGUUGCAUUAGUUUCAGGUGUACAGCAAAGUGAAUCAGUUAUACGUAAUACCUAUAUACCUUCCAAGGAGGCUUCUUUUGAAAGCUAACCACCUGUGGAAAGCUUGAAAAACUGGCCAGUUGCACAGGGAGGUUUGGCCACCCUUUAAUAAAAGGAACCAAAUCAAGCUUUCUCUAGGGAUUCUCAUUUGGGAAGUUGGCUAGGAGGAUGGUAUCAGUACAGGCUUUCUUCUGGCCAUUAUCUUGGCCCUGCAGGGAAAAUUCUGGGCAAGGAGGACAAGCACAGAGAUCUAACAUAUUUAGAGUGCAAUUUGCCCAUGACAAAUCUAGAGGAGAAGUGCCAUGGAGGAAAGGGCUGGUUUCAGACCUCCUUCCCAGCAACACAGACUGAGACAUAAUGUCCACAGAACAACAGAAAAGGGGUAGCAGAGGCUUUGUAAAUCUGGACUUUCCCAUGCCACGUUGGGCUAUUUUAAAGCCUUUCAGAGCCCCAAGCAUCCUUACUUCAGAGGCUCCCAAUUAUAUCAAGCGCUCGAAGGCACCAACAACAUACACCUAAUAAAAUUUCAAAGUAGCCAUGUGACUUGCAUUGCUUUGCAGGUGACUGGUUGACAUUAAGUGUUACAGCUAUUUAGACAUUAAUUCUGAUUAUGCAAUUCCUUUUUACAUUUUGAAGCCAGUGGUUUGGGGUUUCCAUCGUUUCAUUGUUUGUUUUGUUGUUGUUGUUUUCCAAACCUCAAACAUUUACAGAAGCCUUAGAAAGGCUCUUCGACCCAGAUCUUUUUGCCUGAAGCACAGAAAUAGAAACAGCCCUCUGAUGCAAACAAGGCAACGGUUAUAUUAAUCCAACUUUAGAGAUGCUAGCACCUAAACUCUUUAAGACCCUGAUGACUCUGCUGGUUGCCUUCUGCAUUGUUUAUAGCCUUUUAAGUUUCAGUCGUUUGGAUCAAGGGAAAUAAACAGGCUGCCUUCCCAUGGCCUUGCCACACCAGCACGCACACAACCACUACACAUGGAAUCCUAAGCCAGAUUCAUGUGCCACAGCACACAGAUCUGUUUCCGGUGAUCGUAUCUAAUUACCAUCCCCGACCCAACCCCCCAUUUUCUAUAAAAAUGGAUUCAUAUGCUUUACUCUAAAAAAAGUUCUAAAAUGAGGUUCGUACUCAUUAGAUCAUGACUUCUCUUGGGGUGGGGGAAUUGACUUUGCGACAUAACCUUGGAGAAAAAUCACUGGCUAUUAAAUGCCUUGGUGAUUGCUCCUGUGCCCUUCCAAAAACCGAUGUUGGACUUCUCCCAUCUCCCCAGAGGUCAGCCUGGCCUCCCUCUCAAGCAGCACAAAUAUCAUGAAGAUACCUUUGGAAGUGUCUAAACAGACUCCCUAUUCAAGCAUAAUUCCAAAAAUGGGAUUUGAAUCAAGGACUGCCUUGAUUCUGGGUUAUGUGAUCCCUAAAUCAAUUCCAAUUCUUUAGAUAUAUAUCCACAGCAUUUUUUUUUCACCUGCAUCCUCUAUGUUAAUGUGUUUGCAUCAGGGGCUACACACUAACUCUGUCACAACUUUUGACAAUGUCUAUGCCACGUUUACAUUCCGUGCAUCAAGAGAAGACCAAAAAAAUUUCCUUUGGUACCAGCCGCAGAGGUUCUAAAGUACAGAACCAGGUAUUUUUUCACAUCAGAAGGCCCCUGUUUAUAGGUAGAAACUUUAAAGAGAAACAAGGGAAGGGAUAUUCCUAUUUGAACUCUGGGAAUCUUUGUUUUUUCAUUGUCAUUCGGGUCUCACCUCAGAGCACCCUUCUCUUUCUAGAAGCAGCAGCUUCUUCGGGGAGUGUUGGCCCCCAUUGGAGGUGGUUGGGAUUCCACUUGCUUAAACUUACAGGAAGGGCACCGUAAGGCUCUCUGAGGCUCUGCGUGAGUUCUCCACUCCUCCCUUUCUUUCACCAGCAGAAAAAUGCUAUCCUUACAAGGUCAUGUUUGAGGAGCCCUCAGUUUAGCCAGUGAACCUCCACGUUACAGAGAGCUGAACAAUGCCAGGUUCUUGACUGUGCCCUCUAAGCCUCAGUCGUGAUUGGCACAGAAGCAACCAGUCUGCUGAAAAGCCGAGCCAGCACAAAUGUUUUGAAACGAAUUCCACUGAAACUCUUGUUUGUUACAUCAUACUUGCUGUAGUUCCAGUUAAUCCAACUAUUUAAUAUCAUGAGGUACUAAAUUAAAUAGCUGUACACAAAAUUUUAGAAAAGAUCAAUAUUGUAACAAAAUUACAUAUUAGCAGUAAAAAGUACCCAAGAAAAGAAAAUAUUGAUCCAUUGUGGUUUCUAUACUUGAGUUAUUCUUAGGACUCUGGAGAGACUGGCACUGCUCUGAUAAAUGAGAAGAUGGCUUUCUUUGGUCUUUGAAAAUGUUUAUCGGAGUAUAGUUGAAUUUGCAAUGUUGCGUUAGUUUCAGGUGUACAACAAAGGGACUCAGCUACCUAUAUACACGUGUCUGUUCCUUUUCAGAUUCUUUUCCUAUAUAGGUCACUACAGCGUGUUGAGCAGAUUUCCCUGUGCUGCACAGUAGGUCCCCGUUACUCCUCCAUUCCAUAUAUGGGGAAGACGUUUUGAAUUCGAGAAUACGAACUUGAACUAAGGGGAAACUGCCUGUCUCUCUGGGCUUCUGCUCAUCUGUUUGGGAUGCUCCCUGUUCCAUCUCAGCAGACAGGGUUGUUGGGAGGCCAAAAUGAGCAAAGGGGAGAAGCUAUGCUGUACCACCCAUAUCUGUGUAUUCAUCCUGGUGAGCUGGGCUAUUGGCUUUUGUCAGUGAGCCCUUUUCUUUUGUUUAUGCCUUCCCUUCAUAGCUCUUAUUACUCAGAUUCCAUUCUGGAAUUUUGAAAAGUAAAAUAAGAAAGUUACCAAUCAGCAUUCUGAAUGCACACCCAAUAUAUGGCGACUGGUCUACAAAGCUCAUGGUCAAGGUGCCCAUUCAUCCCCACAUCACCUCCCAAAGGUUUAGAGCACUAGCCGAGCGGAGCUCAGUGCAGGUGAAGAUUGCCAAUCCCCGGGGUUGAAGACAGCCCAUGAAGUUGACAAAUUGAGGGUCACAGGAAGCAGAGAGCCACAUCGAACUUCCUUGAUGAGCUGCCAUAUAUUAGUCUUUGUGCUAGGAAAGAAAGAGGAAGAAAAAUGAGACAAUGUGAAUUGCAUGUGAGACCAGGGCUCUCAAUUGAGUAUGAGAGGGGGAAAAAUCCUGCACAAAAAACAAAACAAACAAACAAAAAAAACCUAGUUCACUGUUUUGCAGACACUAACAAACAUGGCUAUAAAAGCACAUUUUGUAACACAAAAGCCUACGUAGAUCGUAGACAUGUUUAUAGCAUCCUUAAGUGAGUAGUUAAACCAGCAGUCUGAAUUCUCUUAGUCCCCUGAGUGGUUAAUUAAAUAUUUUCCUUAUUCAUUGCCCACAACUGUGGUUUUCCCCCUCUAUGCACCCUAGAAAAAUUCCCAAGACUAGACUUAGGAGGACACAAGCCGGUUAUGUGGUAAAAUAAGAGUGCCUUUUCUGUUGGAUGUUCAUUUUAGUGCCCUGCAUUUCCAGGGCAUACCAUGUUUAGAAACUUUUUUCUCUAAACGUAGGAAUUACUAGGCACCACGAUUUUGAAAUACCAAUUUCCAUAUCUUAAGCAGCUGUCAACUUGCCAAUUCCCUUUGGGUCUCCUUUACAUUUUCUUAUAAUGUUUCCUUGUGUUUUGGGUUGCCCUCAAAAAGAGUUUUGGGGGGGCAUGACUUUUUAAAUUGAUAGAAAUGCAACUGUACAGAUUUUUGCCCCCUUGUAUCUGUGAGCAUGAUCUCUAUCAGGCUUGAAAAAUCUGCUUUAUCAUUUUGUAUAUUUGACUAUUUUGUAUUCAACAUUACUUGAUUCCUUAUGUGCAUGGCGAUGUAUUAAAAUGUGGGAUUUCU